rnacentral:rRNA from 1 species
UACGAAGGGGGCUAGCGUUGUUCGGAAUCACUGGGCGUAAAGGGCGCGUAGGCGGGGAGGUAAGUCGGGUGUGAAAUCCCUCGGCCCAACCGAGGAACUGCGCCCGAGACUGCUUCUCUUGAGUCCCGGAGAGGAAGAUGGAAUUCCCGGUGUAGCGGUGAAAUGUGUAGAGAUCGGGAGGAACACCGGUGGCGAAGGCGGUCUUCUGGACGGUGACUGACGCUGAGGCGCGAAAGCGUGGGGAGCAAACGGG